GCAGUAUGGAUGAUCGCUUGGACGCGAA
rnacentral:sRNA from 1 species